rnacentral:rRNA from 1 species
UCGAGCGGCAGAAGGGAGCUUGCUCCGGAUGUUAGCGGCGGCGGGUGAGUAACACGUGGGUAACCUGCCUGUAAGACUGGGAUAACUCCGGGAAACCGGAGCUAAUACCGGAUAGUUCCUUGAACCGCAUGGUUCAAGGAUGAAAGACGGUUUCGGCUGUCACUUACAGAUGGACCCGCGGCGCAUUAGCUAGUUGGUGAGGUAACGGCUCACCAAGGCGACGAUGCGUAGCCGACCUGAGAGGGUGAUCGGCCACACUGGGACUGAGACACGGCCCAGACUCCUACGGGAGGCAGCAGUAGGGAAUCUUCCGCAAUGGACGAAAGUCUGACGGAGCAACGCCCGUGAGUGAUGAAGGUUUUCGGAUCGUAAAGCUCUGUUGUUAGGGAAGACAAGUGCAAGAGUAACUGCUUGCACCUUGACGGUACCUAACCAGAAAGCCACGGCU